rnacentral:precursor_RNA from 1 species
UGCAAAAAUAGUUGUGGUUUUGGUAAUUUUUAAUGGCAAAAACCACAAUUACUUUUGCACC